rfam:Ornithorhynchus anatinus chromosome X5, whole genome shotgun sequence.
AGCAGUGUGGUCUAAUGGGAAGAGCAUGGGCUUGGGAGUCAGAGGACCUGGGUUCUAAUCCCGGCUCUGCCA